GUGGCUGUAGGUUAGUGGUAGAGCGCUUGCUUCGUAUGCAUGAAGCACUGGGUUCAAUCCUCAGCACCACA
rfam:Ictidomys tridecemlineatus contig048201, whole genome shotgun sequence.